rnacentral:rRNA from 1 species
CCUACGGGAGGCAGCAGUGAGGAAUAUUGGUCAAUGGGCGGAAGCCUGAACCAGCCAAGUCGCGUGAGGGAUUAAGGCCCUGCGGGUCGUAAACCUCUUUUGCCGGGGAGCAGUGGUCCGCACGCGUCCGGCCCUGGAUAGUACCCGUAAAAAAGGCAUCGGCUACUCCGUGCCAGCAGCCGCGGUAAUACGGAGGAUGCGAGCGUUAUCCGGAUUUAUUGGGUUUAAAGGGUGCGUAGGCGGGCAUUUAAGCCGGCGGUAAAAUGUCGGGGCCCAACCCUGGCCUGCCGUCGGAACUGGGGGCCUUGAGUGGGCGAGAAGUAGGCGGAAUGCGUGGUGUAGCGGUGAAAUGCAUAGAUAUCACGCAGAACCCCGAUUGCGAAGGCAGCAUACCGGCGUCCGACUGACGCUGAGGCACGAAAGUGCGGGUAUCGAACAGGAUUAGAUACCCGUGUAGUC